rnacentral:rRNA from 1 species
CAGCAGCCGCGGUAAGACAGAGGAUGCAAGCGUUAUCCGGAAUUAUUGGGCGUAAAGGGCUCGCAGGCGGUUUCUUAAGUCUGAUGUGAAAGCCCCCGGCUCAACCGGGGAGGGUCAUUGGAAACUGGGAAACUUGAGUGCAGAAGAGGAGAGUGGAAUUCCACGUGUAGCGGUGAAAUGCGUAGAGAUGUGGAGGAGCACCAGUGGCGAAGGCGACUCUCUGGUCUGUAACUGACGCUGAGGAGCGAAAGCGUGGGGAGCGAACAGGAUUAGAUACCCCGGUAGUCCCUGUCUCUUAUAC